rnacentral:lncRNA from 1 species
CAAUCAGCAAUGAUUAACCAUAAGCUUGAAUAAAACACUCUUAUUAGAGUUAAGUAAGAACAAACUUGCCUGAACCGUUGAUUACUGCAACGCAAUUUAUAACGCUUUACCCGAAGACCUAAUAUUAAUAAUAUAGAUCUCCAAUAUUAGAAUAAUAUCAUCACAGUAUAAUAUUAUUAUAUUUAUAUACACAGAAUAACCUAAAC